rnacentral:sRNA from 1 species
UUUCAUUUUAUAGUUUACAAUUGUUAUUAACUAACGUCCUGCCAAACCCGUCCCGUAAAAAAACCUAUUUAUUUUAUUAAUGUUGAUCUUAUUUAUGAUAUGUUUAUAAACCAUUGUCUAAAUAAUUUGUAAUUUUGUAGUAAUUAAUUGCUAUCAAAUAUCUCUACGGUUUGCUGCUUAUAAUCGAAUUGUUAUAGUCAUAAAAAAAAGCAAUAUCAAAAAUGAUAAUUUUGUAGUAUUUAAAUGAUAUUAAAUAUUUUGGAAGUUUUAUUUUAGUAACUAAUCGUAUAGUUAAUGCAGAGAGAUUUUGGGAAGGUAGUUAAAUGCAAACAUUUAAUUCAAAUAUUUACUUU